rnacentral:rRNA from 1 species
UACGUAGGCAGCGUGCGUUGUUCGGAAUUACUGGGCUUAAAGAGUGUGUAGGUGGUGCUCUAAGUUUGGUGUGAAAUCUCCCGGCUCAACCGGGAGGGUGCAUCGAAAACUGGAAUGCUCGAGGAUGGGAGAGGGAAGCGGAAUUCCUGGUGUAGCGGUGAAAUGCGUAGAUAUCAGGAGGAACACCUGUGGUGUAGACAGCUUACUGGACCAUUUCUGACACUGAGACACGAAAGCGUGGGUAGCAAACAGG